GGGGGCGUUUUGGAUUCGACGGGGAUUGUUCGAGCAUGAACGGCGGGUCGUGGGGCCGCGGGGCCACGUAAAAAACGCGGACCUAAAUUAACUGGCAAAGCGAAACGCUUUUCCACCAACAACCUCGCCCUGGCUGCCUAAUCGCACCCAGGCCGUCGCCUAGCGCAUCGCCCGUGUGCGCUUGGUGACGUCACCUCAGCGGGCUGGACGGCCGCCUCGCUCACGGGCGGCGGUCGAGACCUUCGUGAGCUGACCUGCUGGCCAGCGUGUGCAUCCGCGGGCCGCAGGGACACCCAGUAGAUGUACUACACCCGUAGAAGUUCAUGUGGCGAGAUCUUCGGACGCGGGUUCGACUCCCGUCGCCUCCACCA
rnacentral:tmRNA from 1 species